rnacentral:tRNA from 1 species
AAAAAGAUAAGCUAAGUCUAAGCUGUUGGGUUCAUACCCCGAAUAUAAAGUCAUUCUUUUCUUUUUA